UUCGGGCUGAGUGGCGGACGGGUGAGUAACGCGUGAGAAUCUACCUUCAGGAUGGGGACAACCGUUGGAAACGACGGCUAAUCCCCAAUAAGCCGCAAGGUAAAAAGGGUUUCCGCCUGGAGAAGAGCUCGCGUCCGAUUAGUUAGUUGGUGAGGUAAGAGCUUACCAAGGCAGCGAUCGGUAGCUGGUCUGAGAGGAUGAGCAGCCACACUGGGACUGAGACACGGCCCAGACUCCUACGGGAGGCAGCAGUGGGGAAUUUUCCGCAAUGGGCGCAAGCCUGACGGAGCAACGCCGCGUGUGGGAAGAAGGCUCUUGGGCUGUCAACCACUUUUCUCAGGGAAGAAGUCCUGACGGUACCUGAGGAAUCAGCCUCGGCUAACUCCGUGCCAGCAGCCGCGGUAAUACGGAGGAGGCAAGCGUUAUCCGGAAUUAUUGGGCGUAAAGCGUCCGCAGGGGGCACAUCAAGUCUGCUGUUAAAGGCUGGAGCUUAACUCCGGUAGAGCAGUGGAAACUGGUGUGCUCGAGGGCGACAGGGGUAGAGGGAAUUCCCAGUGUAGCGGUGAAAUGCGUAGAGAUUGGGAAGAACACCGGUGGCGAAAGCGCUCUACUGGGUCGCACCUGACCCUCAGGGACUAAAGCUAAGGUAGCGAAAGGGAUUAGAUACCCCUGUAUCUUAGCCGUAACGAUGGAUACUAGGCGUGGUUGUUCGACCCAACCGUGCCAAACUAACCUUAAUAUCCCGCUGGGAGACGCAGCAAUGUGAACU
rnacentral:rRNA from 1 species